rnacentral:rRNA from 1 species
CGCCUACGGGAGGCAGCAGUCGGGAAUAUUGCGCAAUGGAGGCAACUCUGACGCAGUGACGCCGCGUAUAGGAAGAAGGUUUUCGGAUUGUAAACUAUUGUCCUCAGGGAAGAAAAAAGACUGUACCUGAGAAGAAAGCCCCGGCUAACUACGUGCCAGCAGCCGCGGUAAUACGUAGGGGGCAAGCGUUAUCCGGAUUUACUGGGUGUAAAGGGAGCGUAGACGGUGCAGCAAGUCUGAUGUGAAAGGUCGGGGCCCAACCCCGGGACUGCAUUGGAAACUGUUGAACUGGAGUACAGGAGGGG